UCGAGGAUCUUCGGCAAUGAGCGCAAGCUUGACCGAGCGACGCCGCGUGUGGGAUGAAGGCCUUCGGGUUGUAAACCACUGUCAGUGAGGAGGAAGGCUCCGUGAAGAGCGGGGUUUGACCUAUUCGCAGAGGAAGUGUGGGCUAAGCUCGUGCCAGCAGCCGCGGUAAGACGAGCCACACAAACGUUAUUCGGAAUUACUGGGCUUAAAGGGUGCGUAGGCGGCGCGGAAAGUGGGGUGUGAAAGCCCUCGGCUCAACCGAGGAAUUGCGCUCCAAACUACCGUGCUCGAGGAAGACAGAGGUUAGCGGAACUUCGGGUGGAGCGGUGAAAUGCGUUGAUAUCCGAAGGAACACCGGUGGCGAAAGCGGCUAACUGGGUCUUAUCUGACGCUGAUGCACGAAAGCCAGGGUAGCAAACGGGAUUAGAUACCCCCGUAGUCC
rnacentral:rRNA from 1 species